CUUUGUACCUGUCAACAGAACCAUCAGCAAGCCGUUUAAUUCGAAAAAUCCACUUACAACCAACAAGAUUCUGCAGAGAAGUAGAUGGAACAAGCUCCCAUGUUCCAUUCCGAACAAGAGCAUCAAAUUCAUCAUUCAUAGCUUGUCUCCAUUUGGGAUCUUUUAGGGCUUGGUUAAUAGUAUGAGGCUCAAUGUCGGAUGGUUGGGGAAGGACAACAGUGAGAGUCAUCUUGGUUAGGGGUUUGUGGAUGUUGUUUUUCGCUCUAGUGGUCAUGGGAUGGGUAUUUUGAUGGGUGGUUUGACCUGUGGUCGAAGUAGAAGAGGUUUCAGAAUUAUGUGGUUCUAGUGGUAAACGGUCAACCGUGGUUUCUUGGCGGUCAACCGAACUGUGUCCGAGUAAAGUGAGGUCUAUGGAUAGAGGUUGACGAUCGACUGGUAAGGAGGGUUGGUCUACUGUUUGAGCAUGUUGUGACGGAUGUUGACACGGGAAAUCCUUUUGUGGAGGUGUAUUGAGUGAGCCACUUGAAAGGGGUAAAAUUUGGACAGGGGGAAGCCAUUUAGAAAUGAUCUCUGGGGUGGGACGAGAUAGAUGGGAUUGGCGAGUGGUAAAGGGAAAAGAGUUUUCAAGAAAUUUAACAUGACGAGAAAUAUAUAUUUUAGAAGUGGACAGAUCAAGA
rnacentral:lncRNA from 1 species